GCUGAGGUAGCUCAGUUGGGAGUGCGUUAGACCGAAGAUCUAAAGGUCCCUGGUUCAAUUCCAGGUUUCUGUA